ACUUACGAAACCCCACAAAGUUUUCACCCCGUGUUCGUGCUGUGAAGCGGUGCUUAAACCUGUGAGAGCGCAGCCCGCUGGCAUCUCUGUCAGCCUUUAGUGGAGAAAAACACCUUGGGCGCUCGGUGGGAGUUGUGCCGAAAUUAGUGGAAAAGCAGUCCUCAGCUGUACAAUUUUGCAGCCGUGUUAUGCACCUGGGAAAACUACCCUUCAUAUUAGAAUAUCUGUCACAUGCAGCUUGAAAGAUAUCUUGGCUUCUUUGGGUUACAAGAUAUUCAUGAGCUGUUGACAUUAGAAAAAAUGUGUAGAAGUAUGCUUGCGCAGUUUCUGAUCCUCAUCUUUUGAGAGAUUGGAAGAGAUCGUUAAAGGUGAUUGCUUGUUUGCCUUGAAGAUUCUUCAGUGGAGGAUUUUGAAAAAUUCUGACCUGCUAUCUCUGUUCUACCAAGGAAAGCAUGUAAUUAAGCUUCUGGGUAGAUAAGGAGUUCCUCUGAUAGAUAUUUACCUUUUCAGCCACUCCUCUUGGCAAAAAGUUUGGAACGGUUUUCUGUAUUUCACUCUGCUAGUAAGCAUCUGUAAUUUUGUCACCUGAAAGCUGGACAUCAGCAACACAUCACUGAGAGUUUAAAUAAUUAUUCGCUUGGAGGGAUUGGUGUUCUCCACUUGAGUUCUGUGGUUGUGUGCUCAUGCAGUGCAGUCACACACCCAGCAAUGUGGGAGGUCUGGGCUAAGAGAGCAUCCUCACCUCUUCUUCCAGGAAUAUCUGCCCUCCAUCAGUGUUGAGAUUGUGUGGUUAUCAGUUUUACUUGGCACUAGCGCAUUACAUCUGAAC
rnacentral:lncRNA from 7 species